GACGAACGCUGGCGGCGUGCUUAACACAUGCAAGUCGAACGGAAAGGCCUUGUUUUCGUGGGGUGCUCGAGUGGCGAACGGGUGAGUAACACGUGUGUAACGUGCCCUAGCUUUUGGGAACUCUUCAGGAAACUGGGGAUACUACCGGUUAGGCGCGCCUGCAGCGUGGUGGGGGUUGGAAAGUUUCGGCGGAUGGGGUUGGACUCGCGGCUGAUCGGCUUGCUGGUGGGCUAGUGGCUUACCAAGGCUUUGACGGGUAGCCGGCCUGAGAGGGUGGCCGGCCACAUGGGGACGACGAUACGGCCCAGACUCCGACGGGAGGCAGGAGUGGGGAGUAUUGCACUGAGGGCGGGAGGCUGAGGCGGCAACGCCGGGUGCGGGAUGACGGCCUUCGGGUGGUAAACCGCUUGCGCCUUUGACGGAGCGGUGGUGACGGUAGUGGGAGAAGAAGCACCGGCUAACUACGUG
rnacentral:rRNA from 1 species